rnacentral:rRNA from 1 species
CACGUAGGGGGCGAGCGUUGUCCGGAAUUACUGGGCGUAAAGGGCGUGUAGGUGGCCUGUGAAGUCGAAAGUGAAAACCUGGGGCUCAACCCCGGGCCUGCUUUCGAAACCAGCAGGCUUGAGGACAGGAGAGGGAAGCGGAAUUCCCAGUGUAGCGGUGAAAUGCGUAGAUAUUGGGAGGAACACCAGUGGCGAAAGCGGCUUUCUGGCCUGUAACUGACAAUGAGGCGCGAAAGCGUGGGGAGCAAACAGG